AAAACUUCCAACAACGGAUCUCUUGGUUCUCGCAUCGAUGAAGAACGCAGCGAAUCGCGAUAUGUAUCAUGACUUGCAGACGUGAAUCAUUAAUUUUUGAACGCACAUUGC
rnacentral:rRNA from 1 species